AGUUAUUUGGCCGAGAAAAAAGCAUGUGUUUUGAAAACUCAUAACAGAAAUAAAAUUCUAAUAACUU
rnacentral:tRNA from 1 species